CCCCAGGGUCAUUUCCAAGCACAGGCUCUCUUGCUGUCACUGCCUUGGUCUGGAUUUUUGGCCCACAUGCUUUCCUCCUAAGCCCUUCCUGCAACCUCAUGUGCUGGCAUUUGCCCAGACUUCUCCGUGGCAGUGACGGAGUUGCCUGAGCAACGUUUCUCCCUCUGUCUCUGCUCUCACACCGUCCCUGCAGCAGGGCAGGAUAACCCAUUGCAACCCCCCCAGCCACGCUGGCCGCCAUCAGUACUCUGCUGUAAUCUCAUUUGCCUGGCCAGCUCCAGAGCGAAGGCAGCAGAGGCACCCCAUGGAUCAGACACCUCUCCUGCCACGGGCUCUCACGCCAGUCUCCUCAUGGCCUUUGCUGGAGCUUGGUGGCCCUCCAGUUUCCUUCAAAGACAUGCUGGGAGUGAUGGUGCUGCUGCGUGUCUCACACCUCCCCAGGCAGGGGGUCAGUUCAACCUUGCUAAAAAAAAUAUCUGGGAGCCCCUUUAUGCCAUGAUCCUCCAAUGUUUAUGUUUCCAGAGAAAUUUAAAAAGAAGGAAAGCCAAGGUGUGGGCCUCAUCACCUCCUUUGUGGACAUACCAGGAAACAGAUGGCCUGUGACGUGAAGAAAGAAUACG